rnacentral:rRNA from 1 species
CUGACGGUACCUGAUGAAUCAGCCUCGGCUAACUCCGUGCCAGCAGCCGCGGUACUACGGAGGAGGCAUGCGUUAUCCGGAAUUAUUGGGCGUAAAGCGUCCGCAUGUGGCGAUUCCAGUCUGCUGUCAAAGCACGGGGCUUAACUCCGUUCAUGCAGUGGAAACUGAAUAGCUAGAGUGCCGUAGGGGUACAGGGAAUUCCCGGUGUAGCGGUGAGAUGCGUAGAGAUCGGGAAGAACAUCGGUGGCGAAAGCGCUCUACUGGACGGUAACUGACACUCAGGGACGACAGCUAGGGGAGCGAAUGGGAUUAGAUACCCCACGUAGUCCUAGCUGUAAGCGAUGGAUACUAGGUGUAGCUGGUAUCGACCCGAGCUGUGCCGAAGCUAACGCGUUAAGCAUCCCGCCUGGGGAGUACGCACGCAAGUGUGAAACUCAAAGGAAUUGACGGGGGCCCGCACAAGCGCUCGGACGUAUGUCGGUAGAAACAGAUGCAACGCGAAGAACCUAACCAGGGCACGACACGUCCGGAAUCCCGGUGAAAGCUGGGAGUGCCAUCGGGAGCCGGAACACAGGUGGUGCAUGGCUGUCGUCAGCUCGUGUCAGUGAGAUGUUGGGAUAAGUCCCGCAACGAGCGCAACCGUGGUCUUUAGUUGCCAGCAUUAAGUUGGGCACUAUAGAGAGACUGCCGGUGACAAACCGGAGGAAGGUGGGGAUGACGUCAAGUCAGCAUGCCCCUUACGCUGUGGGCGACACACGUACUACAAUGGUCGGGACAGAGGGCAGCGAACCUGCGAAGGCAAGCUAAUCCCAGCAAACUCGGCCUCAGUUCAGAUCGCA